rnacentral:rRNA from 1 species
UACGUAGGGUGCGAGCGUUAAUCGGAAUUACUGGGCGUAAAGCGUGCGCAGGCGGCUGUGCAAGACAGAUGUGAAAUCCCCGGGCUUAACCUGGGAACUGCAUUUGUGACUGCACGGCUAGAGUGUGUCAGAGGGGGGUAGAAUUCCAUGUGUAGCAGUGAAAUGCGUAGAUAUGUGGAGGAAUACCGAUGGCGAAGGCAACCCCCUGGGCUGACACUGACGCUCAGGCACGAAAGCGUGGGGAGCAAACAGG